rnacentral:rRNA from 1 species
CAUGAUUCAGCGGCGGACGGGUGAGUAAUGCCUAGGAAUCUGCCUGGUAGUGGGGGACAACGUUUCGAAAGGAACGCUAAUACCGCAUACGUCCUACGGGAGAAAGUGGGGGAUCUUCGGACCUCACGCUAUCAGAUGAGCCUAGGUCGGAUUAGCUAGUUGGUGAGGUAAAGGCUCACCAAGGCGACGAUCCGUAACUGGUCUGAGAGGAUGAUCAGUCACACUGGAACUGAGACACGGUCCAGACUCCUACGGGAGGCAGCAGUGGGGAAUAUUGGACAAUGGGCGAAAGCCUGAUCCAGCCAUGCCGCGUGUGUGAAGAAGGUCUUCGGAUUGUAAAGCACUUUAAGUUGGGAGGAAGGGCAGUAAGUUAAUACCUUGCUGUUUUGACGUUACCAACAGAAUAAGCACCGGCUAACUUCGUGCCAGCAGCCGCGGUAAUACGAAGGGUGCAAGCGUUAAUCGGAAUUACUGGGCGUAAAGCGCGCGUAGGUGGUUCGUUAAGUUGGAUGUGAAAGCCCCGGGCUCAACCUGGGAACUGCAUCCAAAACUGGCGAGCUAGAGUAUGGCAGAGGGUGGUGGAAUUUCCUGUGUAGCGG